GACAGAGGUGCCGAGCGUUAGGCGGAAUCACUGGGCUUAAAGCGUGUGUAGGCGGAGUGCUAAGUACCUUGUGAAAUCCCACGGCUUAACCGUGGAACUGCUUGGUAUACUGGUUCUCUUGGGUCAUCUAGGGGCGAGCGGAACAAACGGUGGAGCGGUGAAAUGCGUAGAUAUCGUUUGGAACGCCAAUGGUGAAAACAGCACGCUGGGGAUGCACCGACGCUGAGACACGAAAGCCAGGGGAGCGAACGGG
rnacentral:rRNA from 1 species